UACGAAGGGGGCUAGCGUUGCUCGGAAUUACUGGGCGGAAAGCGCACGUAGGCGGCUUUCUAAGUCGGGGGUGAAAUCCUGGAGCUCAACUCCAGAACUGCCUUCGAUACUGGAAAGCUCGAGUCCGGGAGAGGUGAGUGGAACUGCGAGUGUAGAGGUGAAAUUCGUAGAUAUUCGCAAGAACACCAGUGGCGAAAGCAGCUCUCUGGGACGGUACUGACGCUGAGACGCGAAAGCGUGGGGAGCGAACAGG
rnacentral:rRNA from 1 species